rnacentral:rRNA from 1 species
GGCCAGCAGCCGCGGUAAUACGGAGGGUGCGAGCGUUGUCCGGAAUCACUGGGCGUAAAGGGCGCGUAGGCGGCGCGGAUAGUCGGCGGUGAAAGCCCGGAGCUCAACUCCGGGUCGGCCGUCGAUACUUCCGGGCUUGAGCACUGUAGAGGCAGAUGGAAUUCCGGGUGUAGCGGUGGAAUGCGUAGAGAUCCGGAAGAACACCGGUGGCGAAGGCGGUCUGCUGGGCAGUUGCUGACGCUGAUGCGCGACAGCGUGGGGAGCAAACAGGAUUAGAUACCCUGGUAGUCCACGCCGUAAACGAUGGGCACUAGGUGCUUGGGGGAGCGACCCUCUGAGUGCCGGCGCUAACGCAUUAAGUGCCCCGCCUGGGGAGUACGGCCGCAAGGCUGAAACUCAAAGGAAUUGACGGGGGCCCGCACAAGC